AACGAACGCUGGCGGCAGGCUUAACACAUGCAAGUCGAGCGCCCCGCGAGGGGAGCGGCAGACGGGUGAGUAACGCGUGGGAAUCUACCCAUCUCUACGGAAUAACGCAUGGAAACGUGUGCUAAUACCGUAUACGUCCUUCGGGAGAAAGAUUUAUCGGAGAUGGAUGAGCCCGCGUUGGAUUAGCUAGUUGGUGGGGUAAAGGCCUACCAAGGCGACGAUCCAUAGCUGGUCUGAGAGGAUGAUCAGCCACACUGGGACUGAGACACGGCCCAGACUCCUACGGGAGGCAGCAGUGGGGAAUAUUGGACAAUGGGCGAAAGCCUGAUCCAGCCAUGCCGCGUGAGUGAUGAAGGACCUAGGGUUGUAAAGCUCUUUCACCGGUGAAGAUAAUGACGGUAACCGGAGAAGAAGCCCCGGCUAACUUCGUGCCAGCCGCCGCGGUAAGAC
rnacentral:rRNA from 1 species